ACACGACUACAUUAGAUACCCGUGUAGUCCAGGGUGUAAACGCUGCGGGCUUUGGUGUUGGGGGUCCUUAGUGGGCGCCCAGUGCCGGAGAGAAGUUGUUAAGCCUGCCGCCUGGGAAGUACGGUCGCAAGGCUGAAACUUAAAGGAAUUGGCGGGGAGCACCACAACGGGUGGAGCCUGCGGUUUAAUUGGACUCAACGCCGGAAAUCUCACCGGAUAGGACAGACAUAUGAUAGUCGGGCUGAAGACUCUACUUGAUGAUCUG
rnacentral:rRNA from 1 species